GAUCCUGGCUCAGAUUGAACGCUGGCGGAACGCUUUACACAUGCAAGUCGAACGGUAACGCGGUGAGAAGCUUGCUUCUCACCGGCGACGAGUGGCGAACGGGUGAGUAAUACAUCGGAACGUGUCCGCUCGUGGGGGAUAACCAGCCGAAAGGUUGGCUAAUACCGCAUGAGUUCUACGGAAGAAAGAGGGGGACCCGCAAGGGCCUCUCGCGAGCGGAGCGGCCGAUGACUGAUUAGCCGGUUGGUGAGG
rnacentral:rRNA from 1 species